rnacentral:tRNA from 1 species
AAUGUUUUAGGUUAAACAAACCUAUAGCCUUCAAAGUUAUUAAUGGGUAAAUUACCCAAACAUUA